rnacentral:rRNA from 1 species
UGCGUAGGCGGGCUAAUAAGUCAGUGGUGAAAUCUCUCGGCUCAACCGGGAAACUGCCAUUGAUACUGUUAGUCUUGAGUUCGGUUGAGGUAGGCGGAAUGUGUAAUGUAGCGGUGAAAUGCUUAGAUAUUACACAGAACACCAAUUGCGUAGGCAGCUUACUAGACCGACACUGACGCUGAGGCGCGAAAGCGUGGGGAGCGAACAGGAUUAGAUACCCUGGUAGUCC